rnacentral:rRNA from 1 species
AAGGCUUCAGUACGACCCAGUCAGAACUAUAAGUCUCAAAGCCCCGACGAGUAGGGUGGCGUGCCGGUGCGCGUUGAAGGCCAAGACGUGAGUCAGGCUGGAGCCGCCGGUAGUGCAGAUCUUGGUGGUAGUAGCAAGUACUCUGGUGAACCAACCUGGAGCUGUGAGGUCUGGAUCAGGGUUCCAUGUCAACAGUGAUUGAACAUGGGUGAGUCGAUCCUAAGCCAACUGUGAAAGCAGUGACAUCCCGACAAAGGGGCUUUUACGUGCGCGGGUACUCACACACCCAACCAAAGCUCUCGAGAGUAUAUAUCUCUCUCUCAAACAAAGGCGCACACACGGUGAUCACUACGAAGUGUGAGUGUGUGCGCGAUGGUUUCUGGUUACGCUCAUAAGCGUUGUGCUGCUGCUCUGCUGUCUGACUUGCUAUAAAAGAGAGCGUUGGGUGAGCGUGAGGGAUUAUUGCAUGAGUCUCCUGCGUCUGGUUCUAUGUCUGGCGAAAGGGAAUGGGGACUUUGUUCCUUGACCGGUCCCGGCACCCUCGAUUGGCUUUGCCAAUUAAUGGUCCAUGCAAAUGGAACCAGGCCACAGCCGCCGGCAGUCGCCCGAGGAAGAGUUUUCUUUUCUGCUUAACGCACGAGGUCAUCCCUGGAAACAGUUCGGCUGGCGAAAGGGUGCCCCGUUGCGGCAGAGCGCCACGACUGUCGUGCGCGUCUCGGUGUUCCUGCCGGUCCGUGAAGACGUGGUCGAGGGGAUUGCUCUUGUAUCAACGAAACGCCCGACAAGUUCGGGACGGACCGUACCCUAUAUCCGCAUCUGGUCUCCAAGGUUCGUAGCCUCUGCAGAGUCAGACACAUGUAGGUAAGGGAAGUCGGCAAACUCGAUCCGUAACUUCGGGAAAAGGAUUGGCUCUGAGGGCCGAGCUGGGCCGGGCCUUGCCUGCAAAGCAGUACCUAUAGUGACCGGAGUUUCAGGAGUGCGAGGGGCUCUAGUAGCUGCUUGUGCGUGUGUGCGUUCGCGCGUGCGCGCGUGUGGGCACGAACGAGUCCACCGCUCCGCUCCAACCACGAACGGCUGUGACGGCAAGGGCUCUGGGCGGGAGCGAUCAAUCCGUUGGCCCCCAGCUCGUCUGGGUGGCGGCGGUGCUCCGUCUGACCCAUACGGCUCCAGCGGCUAGCGGCUAACUCAGAACUGUCAUGGACCAAGGGAAUCCGACUGUCUAAUUAAAACAAAGCGUCGUGACGGCCCCUGUUGGGUGUUGACGCGACGUGAUUUCUGCCCAGUGCUCU